CCCGUCUUGAAACACGGACCAAGGAGUCUAACAUCCACGCGAGCGUUCGGGUGAUUGAACCCAGGCGCGCAAUGAAAGUGAACGUAGGUGGGAAGCCCUCCCCCUCUCGGGGGGGAAGGCGCACCAUCGACCGAUCCUGAUGUCUUCGGAUGGAUUUGAGUACGAGCGUGGCUGUUGGGACCCGAAAGAUGGUGAACUUUGCAUGGAUAGGGUGAAGCCAGAGGAAACUCUGGUGGAGGCUCGCAGCGGUUCUGACGUGCAAAUCGAUCGUCAAAUCAGUGCAAAGGGGCGAAAGACUAAUCGAACCGUCUAGUAGCUGGUUCCUGCCGAAGUUUCCCUCAGGAUAGCAGUAACGAACUCAGUUUUAUGAGGUAGAGCGAAUGAUUAGAGGCCUUGGGGCUGAAACAGCCUUAACCUAUUCUCAAACUUCGAAUAUGUAAGAAGUCCUUGUUACUUAGUUGAACGUGGACACUCGAAUGCAACGUUACUAGUGGGCCAUUUUUGGUAAGCAGAACUGGCGAUGCGGGAUGAACCGAACGCGAGGUUAAGGUGCCGGAAUGCACGCUCAUCAGACACCACAAAAGGUGUUAGUUCAUCCAGACAGCAGGACGGUGGCCACGGAAGUCGGAAUCCGCUAAGGAGUGUGUAACAACUCACCUGCCGAAUGAACUAGCCCUGAAAAUGGAUGGCGCUCAAGCGUGCUACCUAUACCUCGCCGCCGGGGCAGGAUCGAAGCCCCGGCGAGUAGGCAGGCGCGGCGGUCGGUGACGAA
rnacentral:rRNA from 1 species